rnacentral:rRNA from 1 species
CCUACGGGAGGCAGCAGUGGGGAAUCUUGCACAAUGGAGGAAACUCUGAUGCAGCGAUGCCGCGUGAGUGAAGAAGGCCCUUGGGUUGUAAAGCUCUUUCGUCGGGGAAGAAAAUGACUGUACCCGAAUAAGAAGGUCCGGCUAACUUCGUGCCAGCAGCCGCGGUAAUACGAAGGGACCUAGCGUAGUUCGGAAUUACUGGGCUUAAAGAGUUCGUAGGUGGUUGAAAAAGUUGGUGGUGAAAUCCCAGAGCUUAACUCUGGAACUGCCAUCAAAACUUUUCAGCUGGAGUUUGAUAGAGGAAAGCAGAAUUUCUAGUGUAGAGGUGAAAUUCGUAGAUAUUAGAAAGAAUACCAAUUGCGAAGGCAGCUUUCUGGAUCAUUACUGACACUGAGGAACGAAAGCAUGGGUAGCGAAGAGGAUUAGAUACCCUCGUAGUCCAUGCCGUAAACGAUGUGUGUUAGACGUUGGAAAUUUAUUUUCAGUGUCGCAGCGAAAGCGAUAAACACACCGCCUGGGGAGUACGACCGCAAGGUUAAAACUCAAAUGAAUUGACGGGGACCCGCACAAGUAGUGGAGCAUGUGGUUUAAUUCGAAGAUACGCGCAGAACCUUACCAACACUUGACAUGUUCGUCGCGACUUUAAGAGAUUAAAGUUUUCGGUUCGGCCGGACGAAACACAGGUGCUGCAUGGCUGUCGUCAGCUCGUGUCGUGAGAUGUUGGGUUAAGUCCCGCAACGAGCGCAACCCUCACUUUUAGUUGCCAUCAUUAAGUUGGGCACUCUGAAAGAACUGCCAGUGAUAAGCUGGAGGAAGGUGGGGAUGACGUCAAGUCCUCAUGGCCCUUACGUGUUGGGCUACACACGUGCUACAAUGGUAUCUACAACAGGAAGCAAAACAGCGAUGUUAAGCAAAUCCUUAAAAGAUACCUCAGUUCGGAUUGCACUCUGCAACUCGAGUGCAUGAAGCUGGAAUUACUAGUAAUCGUGGAUCAGCGUGCCACGGUGAAUGCGUUCCCGGGUCUUGUACACACCGCCCGUCACACCAUGGGAGUUGGUUCUACCUUAAGGCAAGGUUUCAUACCCUUGACCACGGUAUAGUCAGCGACUGGGGUGAAGUCGUAACAAGGUAGCCGUAGGGGAACCUGCGGCUG